CAUGCACUGGUGGGGUCCCUCAGCCUGGCCUGUGCCCUCUCUCAAUCCGGGACCCCUCGGGGAAUGUCGGAGAGCUGGUUUCGGGCCGAUUCUGCAGGCCAGGCUGAGGGACCCCACUAGUGCAGG
rnacentral:pre_miRNA from 1 species